UACGAAGGGGGCUAGCGUUGUUCGGAAUUACUGGGCGUAAAGCGCACGUAGGCGGACUACUAAGUCAGGGGUGAAAUCCCGGGGCUCAACCCCGGAACUGCCUUUGAUACUGGUAGUCUCGAGUCCGGAAGAGGUGGGUGGAAUUCCGAGUGUAGAGGUGAAAUUCGUAGAUAUUCGGAGGAACACCAGUGGCGAAGGCGGCUCACUGGUCCGGUACUGACGCUGAGGUGCGAAAGCGUGGGGAGCAAACAGG
rnacentral:rRNA from 1 species